rnacentral:rRNA from 1 species
GACGAACGUUGGCGGCGUGCCUAAUACAUGCAAGUCAACUGAAAUACCGGUAGCAAUACUGGUAUGGAGGUGGCGCACGGGUGAGUAACACGUAGGUAAUCUGCCUUCAGGUCUGACAUAACCCAUCGAAAGGUGAGCUAAUAUCAGAUGAUGCAGCGGCUUGACAUCAAGACAGUUGUUAAAGCUUCGGCGCCUGAAGAUGAGCCUGCGUCUGAUUAGCUAGUUGGCGGGGUAACGGCCCACCAAGGCUGCGAUCAGUAGCUGGUCUGAGAGGAUGAUCAGUCACACUGGAACUGAGACACGGUCCAGACUCCUACGGGAGCAGCAGUAAGAAUAUUGCUCAAUGGCCGAAAGGCUGAAGCAGCAACGCCGCGUGAGGGAU